GGGGUUGUUGCUCAGUGGUACAGCACUUGCCUAGCAUGUAUGAGGCACUGGGUUCAAUUCUCAGCACCA
rnacentral:tRNA from 1 species